AGAGUUUGAUCAUGGCUCAGAUUGAACGCUGGCGGCAUGCCUAACACAUGCAAGUCGAACGGAAACGAUGGGAGCUUGCUCCCAGGCGUCGAGUGGCGGACGGGUGAGUAACACAUAGGAAUCUGCCCAGUAGCGGGGGACAACCUGGUGAAAACCAGGCUAAUACCGCAUACGCCCUACGGGGGAAAGCAGGGGAUCUUCGGACCUUGCACUAUUGGAUGAGCCUAUGUCAGAUUAGCUUGUUGGUAGGGUAACGGCCUACCAAGGCGACGAUCUGUAGCUGGUCUGAGAGGACGAUCAGCCACACUGGGACUGAGACACGGCCCAGACUCCUACGGGAGGCAGCAGUGGGGAAUAUUGCACAAUGGGGGAAACCCUGAUGCAGCAAUGCCGCGUGUGUGAAGAAGGCCUGCGGGUUGUAAAGCACUUUCAGUAGGGAGGAAACAGUUACGGGUUAAUAUCCCGUAGCCUUGACGUUACCUACAGAAGAAGCACCGGCUAACUCUGUGCCAGCAGCCGCGGUAAUACAGAGGGUGCAAGCGUUAAUCGGAAUUACUGGGC
rnacentral:rRNA from 1 species